GAUGAACGCUAGCGGCAGGCUUAACACAUGCAAGUCGAGGGGUAUUUAUCUUCGGAUAGAGAGACCGGCGCACGGGUGCGUAACGCGUAUGUAAUCUACCUUUUACAGAGGGAUAGCCCAGAGAAAUUUGGAUUAAUACCUCAUAGUAUAUAGACUCGGCAUCGAGAUUAUAUUAAAGUCACAACGGUAAAAGAUGAGCAUGCGUCCCAUUAGCUAGUUGGUAAGGUAACGGCUUACCAAGGCUACGAUGGGUAGGGGUCCUGAGAGGGAGAUCCCCCACACUGGUACUGAGACACGGACCAGACUCCUACGGGAGGCAGCAGUGAGGAAUAUUGAACAAUGGGCGCAAGCCUGAUCCAGCCAUGCCGCGUGCAGGAUGACGGUCCUAUGGAUUGUAAACUGCUUUUAUACGAGAAGAAACACUGCUACGUGUAGCAGCUUGACGGUAUCGUAAGAAUAAGGAUCGGCUAACUCCGUG
rnacentral:rRNA from 1 species